CCUACGGGUGACAGCAGUGAGGAAUAUUGGUCAAUGGCCGCAAGCCUGAACCAGCCAAGUCGCGUGAGGGAUGACUGCCCUACGGGUUGUAAACUUCUUUUAUAAGGGAAGAAAAUAUGGCACGUGUACCUUUUUGUAUGUACUUUAUGAAUAAGGAUCGGCUAACUCCGUGCCAGCAGCCGCGGUAAUACGGAGGAUCCGAGCGUUAUCCGGAUUUAUUGGGUUUAAAGGGAGCGUAGGUGGGUUUUUAAGUCAGUUGGGAAAGCUUGGGGCUCUACCUUAAAAUUGCAAUUAAUACUGGCAGUCUCGAGUACAGACGAGGUAGGCGGAAUACGUGGUGUAGCGGUGAAAUGCUUAGAUAUAACGAAGAACUCCGAUAGCGAAGGCAGCUUACCAAACUGCGACUGACGUUGAAGCACGAGAGCGUGGGUAGCAAACAGGAUUAGAUACCCGAGUAGUC
rnacentral:rRNA from 1 species